UUUCACAAUGGGGGAAACCCUGAUGGAGCGACGCCGCGUGGAGGAUGAAGGCCCUUGGGUUGUAAACUCCUGUMAUAAGGGAACAAGAAAGURAUAGUACCUUAARARGAAGARACGGCUAACUCUGUGCCAGCAGCCGCGGUAAUACARARGUCUCAAGCVUUGUUCGGAUUCAUUGGGCGUAAAGGGUGCGCAGGCUGUGUGGUUAGUCAGGUGUGAMAUUCAVAGGCUUAACCUCUAAACUGCACUUGAWACUGCCAUGCUAGARGACUGUAGAGGABAUUGGMAUUCACGGUGUAGCAGUGAAAUGCGUAGAUAUCGUGAGGAAGACCAGUGGCGAAGGCGAAUCUCUGGUCAGUUCCUGACGCUCAUGCACGAAGGCUAGGGGAGCAAACGGGAUUAGAUACCCCGGUAGUCCUAGCAGUAAACGUUGCACGUUUGGUGUGGGAGGAUUCGACCCCUUCCGUGCCGGAGCUAACGCGUUAAACGUGCCGCCUGGGAAGUACGGUCGCAAGAUUAAAACCUAAAGAAAUUGACGGGGGCCCGCACAAGCGGUGGAGUAUGUGGCUUAAUUCGAUGCAACGCGAAGAACCUUACCUGGCCUUGACAUGCAUCUUUAAGUCGGUGAAAGCCAGCGAGCCUCGCAAGAGGDKAUUUGCACAGGUGCUGCAUGGCUGUCGUCAGCUCGUGUCGUGAGAUGUUGGGUUAAKUCCCGCAACGAGUGCAACCCCUGUGAACUGUUGCCACUCUAGCUUCGGCUAGAAGCACUCGGUUCAGACUGCCCUGUGAAACGGGGAGGAAGGUGGGGAUGACGUCAAGUCAGCAUGGUCCUUACGGCCAGGGCUGCACACGUACUACAAUGCCCAGAACAAAAUGAACCGAUACCGCGAGGUGGAGGAAAUCUCUAAAUCUGGGCCCAGUUCGGAUUGAAGGCUGCAACUCGCCUUCAUGAAGUUGGAAUCGCU
rnacentral:rRNA from 1 species